GGGGAAUAUUGGACAAUGGGGGCAACCCUGAUCCAGCCAUGCCGCGUGUGUGAAGAAGGCCUUCGGGUUGUAAAGCACUUUAAGCGAGGAGGAAGGUUUUUAGUUUAAUACACUAAAGAAUUGACGUUACUCGCAGAAUAAGCACCGGGUAACUCUGUGCCAGCAGCCGCGGUAAUACAGAGGGUGCAAGCGUUAAUCGGAAUUACUGGGCGUAAAGCGCGCGUAGGCGGUUUGUUAAGUCGGAUGUGAAAUCCCUGGGCUCAACCUAGGCACUGCAUCCGAUACUGGCUAACUAGAGUGUGGGAGAGGAAGGUAGAAUUCCAGGUGUAGCGGUGAAAUGCGUAGAGAUCUGGAGGAAUACCGAUGGCGAAGGCAGCCUUCUGGCCUAACACUGACGCUGAGGUGCGAAAGCAUGGGGAGCAAAC
rnacentral:rRNA from 1 species